ACGCCGUAAACGAUGGGCACUUAGGUGUGGGAGUGUCGACUCNUCCCGUGCCGCAGCUAACGCAUUAAGUGCCCCGCCUGGGGAGUACGGCCGCAAGGCUNAAACUCAAAGGAAUUGACGGGGGCCCGCACAAGCAGCGGAGCAUGUGGUUUAAUUCGACGCAACGCGAAGAACCUUACCUGGGCUUGACAUGUGAGUGACCGCCGUGGAAACACGGUUUCCCUUAGGGGCACUUUNACAGGUGGUGCAUGGCGUNUGUCAGCUCGUGUCGUGAGAUGUUGGGUUAAGUCCCGCAACGAGCGCAACCCCUGUCGCAUGUUGCCAGCAUUUAGUUGGGGACUCAUGCGAGACUGCCGGUGACAAACCGGAGGAAGGUGGGGAUGACGUCAAGUCAUCAUGCCCCUUAUGUCCAGGGCUACACACGUGCAUACAUUGGCCGGCACAAAGGGCUGCGAUACCGCGAGGUGGAGCGAAUCCCAAGAAAGCCGGUCUCGGUUCGGAUUGGAGGCUGAAANUCUGCCUCCAUGAAGGCGGAGUUGCUAGUAAUCCCGGAUCUAGCAACGCCGGGGUGAAUACGUUCCCGGGCCUUGUACACACCGCCCGUCACACCACGAAAGCGGGCAACACCCGAAGCCGGUGACCCAACCCUUACGGGAGGGAGCCGUCGAAGGUGGGGCUCGUGAUUGGGGUGAAGUCGUAACAAGGUAGC
rnacentral:rRNA from 1 species